ACCUCGGAUCAGGUAGGAAUACCCGCUGAACUUAAGCAUAUCAAAG
rnacentral:rRNA from 1 species